CAGACAACCAGCUGACAUCACUCGCACAGUGCCCGCAAGUGAUGAAGACUGCACAGUGAAGUAGUUCACAGGUUUCUCAAUAAGCUCACAGCAGAGCCACCAGCUUCAGCAAAAGGCCAGUUGGAAACACGUUGCCAGGAAAGGAAGCAAAGAAUAAAACCUCUGAGGUAAAGGACAAAAGCCUCCCUCAGUGAAUGAGACACUGCUGAAGGGGUUUUCUCUGGCCGGAGCUCUCACACGGAUUCUUACCUGUGAGCAUUUCUCCAGCACCUCCUCCUUGAACUGCAGGAACUUCUCCUGGACGACGGGCUGGUUGAGGGCAAAGGACAGGAAGUGCGUGAAGGGCUGCUUCUUACGGAAGCUGUCGAGAAGAACAUCGAUGCGCGUCCGGGCCGAGAUGACACCGCCGCGCUGCUGUCCUGUAAUCACUGCAGGGAAACAAAGCGACACCCGCCCGGUUCUCACGGUGCUACGGGGAGAUUGCUGACCCUUGUGCAAAAUAAACAGUACAGAGACGGAUCGUGAUUUUGCAUUAUUCUUAUCCACUCGGUAUCAGCGGAUCUUGUGAAGGUAAGGACAUUUCAUUCAGGGGCUGCCAAAAAGGAAUUAGAAAAACCUGCACAACAGCACCUCUCUACAGUUAACCCAGAGCUCACUGAAGUGACAGGAAUUAAAACUCCCAGCCACGCACGGAGAAAUUUUGCCAGACUCUCUGCUCGACUUAAAAUGCCUGGCACGGCUGUACUUUCCCCCGCAAAGGCAGGAUGAUGCCAUCAAAAAUAUCCCUCCGCUCACAAGAAAGCUGCCUCUGUGUGUCUAAAAAAAAAAACAAUAGCAAAGAGUCGCUCAGCUUCAGUGGCUCUUCAGAUUUCUAGAGCAUUAUUUCAUGUUUUCAUAAAAGCAGUCUCUUAGUCGAAGCGACAAAGGAAAUCUACAAAAGAUCAGGAUGGCCUACGUUGUUUGUGUAUGCAGCAAACAGAGGACACUCGAGCUUGAAAGGAAAGAACUGCAAAGAGCAAGAUUUUCUUGGCUUCUUAUUAUUACAUGUUUUCAACAUCUCUCAGCCUUCCUAACAGUUCUUCAGAGCUCUCAGGAAAAAGUCAAGGCCCACUUACUGAGAAGUGCCACCGCAUUCCUGCGCAGUACGACAGCUGGGUCCCCUGUCACCUAAUCCUCCCUGCCCUGUUGUGAACGUAACUCUAUGCUGCACAGCAAGAGCCCUCUGGAUUCCCACUUAGGCAGAGACCCGGUGAGCAACACCUCCUGUCUUGUUAAGUCGCUGCAAGUGAUGAGAAGGAACAUACGGUACAAGGAUGCCUGCUCUCACUAAGAGGAUCGACUAACAGCACCAGAAAGGCAGCGUCAUCAAAACACUGCUUAUAUUAAAGAACAUGAUGAAGUUUAUUUCGUGUCUAAGUAGACAACACAACACUUUUUUGUAGAUGUGUACUGCAAGUCCUUAUUAAUGGAUAUGGUAAUAAUUACAACAAAAAAAAAAGCACAUUCAGGUCCAAGGUUCACAGGCCAGUCAUUUGUAUCCAAGAAGCGACUUCAGUGAGAGUAUUCAUAGGCUUAAAAGGGAUUUUUUCCCCCCUCAAGAUUCUUACUGUGUUUUAUAGAGGUUUACAGUCAAGGGAAAAAAGCUUCAGAGAAAACGGAGGUGAUUUUCCCAGGGCUAUAAAGAGAGUCAGGGCCAGAAGCAGGAGUUAAAGGAAAACACCUCCUAUUCCUCCUCCCUUCUCAAAUCAUGUCCAUGGAAGAGCCAGUGAGAGAACACUUACCAAUUUCUCCUUCCAAUCCAGGCUUGGGAAUGCUGAUUGAGGUUCGAGUCUCUGUUUCUAUUCUCUUCUUGGUUUCUCCUUUCUUCCCUAUUAUGUACCUG